GUCUAUGGCCAUACCACCCUGAACAUGCUUGAUCUCAUCUGAUCUUGGAAGCUAAGCAGGGCCGAGCCUGGUUAGUAUUUGGAUGGAAGACUAUGUCACAUUAAUA
rfam:Erinaceus europaeus unplaced genomic scaffold scaffold00276, whole genome shotgun sequence